UGGUUCACCAAUCUACUAGGCUUUGAAUUUCUUGGUUAAUGUUUUGUUUUUUAAGUGCAUGCUAGCAUGAUUCCGCCUUUAAUUGUUAAUUGCAUGCUAUAUGAUGUUGCUUAAAUGAACAUGUUUUCACCAAAUAUUCCUUCAAAAUCAUGUUUCGUUUGCACCCACACAUUCGUAGAGACAAGUACUAUCUAAUAUAUGCAAGAAAAUGAGUCUUACAUGACACGACAGUGCAUUCAACAAAAGUCAAUGUAUUUGCCUAGAAAGGCAUUUUCUUAAAUUCACAUUUUAAAAUUAUAAAAACUAUAAUUUUUAGGGACGGGUCGUUACAAAUUUACUUAGCCUAACCUAAGAUCACUAGCAUAGUAAGACUCAAAUCAAAAACUUAAAUCAGACAAAUCAUCAAACACAACACAAUAAGGGAAGACCUAAUUAUGAAUGAAUUUAACAACAAGACGAGACUUGAAGCUAUCAGUGCCCCGAUAGUCUAGAAUCCCUACACUUACUUGCUGCACACGCUCCUUAGCUGAAGGGAAAUCUAUGAGAUUCAUGGAUGGGAUUUCAUAAUGACUAUCAUGCAUAUACAAAUCAAAUUUAAUAUACGAAAGCAGCGGAAGCAUUUAUAACAUAUUAACAAAGCUAUAGCCAUGCAAAUCCCCUUCAAGGUUCAUAGGUUUAUAUAUAAUGCAUCAAAUAAAAUUUUAGAGAAAAGAAC
rnacentral:lncRNA from 1 species